rnacentral:rRNA from 1 species
GACGAACGCUGGCGGCGUGCCUAAUACAUGCAAGUAGAACGCUGAAGAGAGGAGCUUGCUCUUCUUGGAUGAGUUGCGAACGGGUGAGUAACGCGUAGGUAACCUGCCUUGUAGCGGGGGAUAACUAUUGGAAACGAUAGCUAAUACCGCAUAACAAUGGAUGACACAUGUCAUUUAUUUGAAAGGGGCAAUUGCUCCACUACAAGAUGGACCUGCGUUGUAUUAGCUGGUAGGUGAGGUAACGGCUCACCUAGGCGACGAUACAUAGCCGACCUGAGAGGGUGAUCGGCCACACUGGGACUGAGACACGGCCCAGACUCCUACGGGAGGCAGCAGUAGGGAAUCUUCGGCAAUGGGGGCAACCCUGACCGAGCAACGCCGCGUGAGUGAAGAAGGUUUUCGGAUCGUAAGGCUCUGUUGUAAGUCAAGAACGAGUGUGAGAGUGGAAAGUUCACACUGUGACGGUAGCUUACCAGAAAGGGACGGCUAACUACGUG